rnacentral:rRNA from 1 species
GACGAACGCUGGCGGCGUGCUUAACACAUGCAAGUCGAACGAAGUGGCGCACGGGUGAGUAACGCGUAAUCAACCUGCCCUUAAGAGGGGGACAACAGUUGGAAACGACUGCUAAUACCGCAUACUGAAGGAGGGGAUUGCGGCUGCUUAGCUCGUUGGAGGGGUAACGGCCCACCAAGGCGAUGAUCAGUAGCCGGUCUGGGGGGAUGAACCGCCCCAUUGGGACUUGGCAAAGGCCCAGACGCCUACGGGAGGCAGCAGUGGGGAAUCUUGCGCAAUGGGCGAAAGGCGGACGGAGCAACGCCGCGUGAGUGAUGACGGCCUUCGGGUUGUAAAGCUCUGUUAAUCGGGACGCGGUACCGGAAUAGAAAGCCACGGCUAACUACGUGCCAGCAGCCGCGGUAAUUC